rnacentral:lncRNA from 1 species
GCACAGCUUCUUCGUCGUUCCAAUCAAACCAGGAUGAAUCACUUUGUGAAAAGCUUAAUUUGGAUACAAAAAGUGGUGGAGAAUCACCAGGAAUUUUAAUAAAUCUCAUAGGAGUUGGGAUGAAGAAGUUAUCCCACUUUCAAAUCAGGUGAUUCCAGUUUCCUAGUUUGGGAAAAGCACAGCUUCUUCGUCGUUCUAAUCAAAACAGGAUGAAUCACUUUGUAAGAAGCUUGAUUUGGAUACCUAAAGUGGUGGAGAAUCACCAGGAAGUUGAAUAAAUCUCAUAGGAGUUGGCAUGAAGAAGUUAUCCCACUUUCAAAUCAGGUGAUUCCAGUUUCCCAGUUUGGGAAUAGCACAGCUUCUUCGUCGUUCUAAUCAAACCAGGAUGAAUCACUUUGUAAGAAUCUUGAUUUGGAUACAUAAAGUAGUGGAGAAUCACCAGGAAGUUGAAUAAAUCUCAUAGGAGUUGGCAUGAAGAAGUUAUCCCAUUUUCAAAUCAGGUGAUUCCAGUUUCCCAGUUUGGGAAUAGCACAGCUUCUUCGUCGUUCCAUUCAAACCAGGAUGAAUCACUGAAAGAUUAAGAGAAUGAAAUGAUUUAGAGAAGAUUAAGGAACAGAAUGAGAGAUUAUGAAGAGAUUAGACUAGAAUCAUGAUUAAGAGAGUAUGAACUUAGAGAGAUAAACUCAGAACUGUAUAUAAACAUGGCUAAAUCCUAGUCUAUAUGAUCAAAAUGCACAUGGAUGAAUGGAUAAGAUAAUGGAAAUAUACAAGAUAUCAGAACAUAAGGAGAGCAAGGAGUUAAGAGGAGGAAUGGGCUGAUAGGGAUGGUACGGACGGAGAGGCCGUACCAGGCCGUACAAGUGAGUGUCCGUACAAGGUGAAAGCGGCCAAGUAACUAUCCGGGAUCUGAGGAAACAUGAAGGAAGAAGGAGAUGGGUGAGUAAAGCCUCUAGAGUACACGGAAGGUCUCAAGACUGAUCAGACCGUUUAGGGAUAAGGGCGGGACGAGCCUUAUCCAUCCAGGCCGUGGACAGGCUGUAAAGGCCAAGCGUGUGAGCCUUACCAUCCGUGAAUUCAAAAGAGACGCUCCCCCCUUUGGCUUGACUUCACAUGCUUAUGACUAGUGCUGCUUUCUCUUGACUUGUAAACCCUAAUGCCUCUUCUAUAAAUAUUGUAACCUCAUCUCAUAAUAAGAUUAGACAGUUCUAAACAAUCUCUCUCUUUACUCAUUUCAUUAUGAUUCUCCAUUAGUCUCUAAUCUGUCUCUUAAUCUCUUAUUCUCCUUCUAUAAUCCUUUCUAAACUCAGAUAAUCAUUUAUAUCCUUAAAUCUCAUAUGGUAUCAGAGCCAGGUUGAUUGAAAUCUGAGUUCGUGAGUGAUUCUCUUAAGGAUUCAAGUUUGAAACUUUAAGAGAACAAGUGAGUGUGUUUGAGAGUUUCUUGAGAGUUCAAAAGCUCAAGGUACUUUGCAUAAUCACUUUGUGAAAAGCUUGAUUUGGAUACAAAAAGUAGUGGAGAAUCACCAGGAAGUUUAAUAAACCCUUAGGGGUUGGGAUGAAGAAGUUAUCCCACUUUCAAAUAACGUGAUUCCAGUUUCCCAGUUUGGGAAUAGCACAGCUUCUUCGUCGUUCUAAUCAAUACAGUGUUGAGAUGAGUUGAGACAUUUGAGGUAAAGACACAAAGGAGUUGAGAACAUAAGGAGAGCAAGGAGUUAAGAGGAGGAAUGGGCUGAUAGGGAUGGUACGGACGGAGAGGCCGUACCAGGCCGUACAAGUGAGCGUCCGUACAAGGUGAAAGCGGCCAAGUAACUAUCCGGGUAACUCUUUUGUACUGAGGUGAAGUUACACUCGGCCAAGGCCUUAUCCGAACGUUGAGAGGAUAAGGGAGGCGCGUCUUGACAGCUAGGACAGGCUGGCAAGGGCUGGAAAGGAAGAGCAUCUAGUCUUGGAUAAGGAAGAUGCUCCAAACGUGUGAGGACACUCAUUGGCCGAUUCAAACUAAAGCACCAGCUCAUCUUUGACUCUACAUGCUUGCUUAUCCUUAUGAUUUCGAAAACCUAAUGUGUAUGGACCUAUAUAUAUUGUGAGCUCAUCAUUAAUAAAGAUUAGACAGUUCUAAACAAUCUCUCUCUUUACUCAUUUCAUUAUGAUUCUCCAUUAGUCUCUAAGCUGUCUCUUAAUCUCUUAUUCUCCUUCUAUAAUCCUUUCUAAACUCAGAUAAUCAUUUACAUCCUUAAAUCUUUUAUGGUAUCAGAGCCAGGUUGAUUGAAAUCUGAGUUUGUGAGUGAUCCUCUUAAGGAUUCAAGUUUGAAACUUUAAGAGAACAAGUGAGUGUGUUUGAGAGUUUCUUGAGAGUUCAAAAGAUCAAGGUAUUUUGCAUGUGUCUUGGUGAUCCGUGGGAGGCUCAUUUGAAGACUCAAGAGUAAAUCUGUGUUCUAGAGGGCAGUGUGGGUUCUCAGUACAAGAUCUAACCGGUUGUUCAAGCUGUAGACGUCAAGCUGUUCAAGAUGGAAAGUGGUAUGAAGAUGAAGGUCGCGGUGACAUUCAAAGGAAGCAACUACCUACUCUGGUCUAGGAUGGUGAAGACUUCUGUGGGAAGCAAGGGUUUGUGGAAGCAUAUCACAUCUGGUGAAGCUCCAAAGGCAAUUACUCAGGAGGGUGAUGCAGAGAGCUCCGAGGAGAGUGUUGUGGAGAAGUGGCAACAAGAAAGUGUAUGGAAACGUUUCUAACCUGAACCGAGUGUUUGAAGUCAAAAAGGCAAUCAACGAGUUAACCCAAGAUGACAUGGAGUUUACUAAGCACUUUAUUGAUUUGGAUACAAAAAGUGGUGGAGAAUCACCAGGAAGUU